CUGGUAAACUGGCGGGGAUUUCUGGAAAUUGUAAGUCAAAACACCUGGGGACCUACAGGUUGAGAACCACUGGUAUAGGGAAUCCUCCAGAGAAAAUAGCCAUUGUGGCCUAAAUUCACUUCCAAUUGUUUAACUCUAAUGAAUCAAUGGGAGCUUGCCAAAUCAACCGUUGUUGGAAUUAAAUAGGAAUUAGAUUUGAAUUUGUGUAAGGGCUGAUCCUAUGAUUAGACAUGAUGACGUAACUUCUUCAGCUUUUAAAGUGUUGGACUUCUGCAAUGGAAAGCAUUUGGAAGGAAUAAGCCCCAGUAUCCUCAAAGUGGUGUCUAGAGAAGAUGCUCGGGUUUACUCCAGAACACCCAGGAUCCCAGUAAGCCUAAAAAAAUUUCUAAAAAAAUUUUUCCCAUUUUUUUUUAAUGGAGUGGGUGGGAACUACACUUGCUUGUGGAAUAAGAAUGAAAAUGGAUAAUACUGGUAAACCGGCAACAUAAGACUAGCAUGUGAU
rnacentral:lncRNA from 11 species